AUAAUAUAUGGACCGUCAUAACUACAGCUAAUGAAAGCCAAGAGUGCAAGGUCGACAAGACACAGUUUAUAAAUAGUACGAAUGUUUUAUUUUCCAGGAAGUAUCGGACACGGACCAUGACCGUCACUACUAAACUCUUUGGAAAGUUCAGCGGUAAUAAUUCUUAUUACAGCACUAUGGAAGUCGGGCCCCCAGGUGGAAACGCUACAAGCGUGGAACAAUUGAUAUAUCAAGGAAAAAACAACAAGUGUGGAGUAUUUGUGCUCCGGAACGUAACCGGGGUGAUCACCAGGCCGUCUUAUUACUUCGAUAAUGCACCAUGU